rnacentral:lncRNA from 1 species
AGAGAAUGUAGCACUGUCCAAACCAGUGAUACUGGCAGACUGAUUUUUUUUCUAUUUUUCUUUACUAACAUUUGGAGAAAGCACUACUCGCUAUAGAAAGAGUAAGCCCUGGAGUUCUACUUGAAUCAAUCUGUAAGAUACGUGCCUCGGAGUGGCUGCCACCAUUCUGGUGAAAGUCCCUGGACGCAAAGAAAAACCUGGACAUUCCUCAAGAAUCACAACAGAGGAGAAUUGUAUCCCUCUCCUGAAUAUAGAGAAAAGGAAGGCCCUGGAGCCAACAGGAUCCACAGAGUACCAAGGCAUCAGAAGAUGGUUAAGGCAGAUGGCAGUACUCACACAAAGCAUCUGUGCUAAGGUUGGACGGGCAGCAGUGGCAGAGCAGUGACCACAAACUGGAUAUUCAGGCUCCACGGCCGUGUUUGUGUUGUCCUCCAUCCUCUACGUAGACUAUAUGAGAUCUGAGUCAACCAGUAAAAGAUGAAAGCAGGCAGGACUCACCUUCUGGACUCAAGUGACACCCUCGGGGCCCAUAAACACCUCAGAGAACUACCAGAAAGGCCUGCACCGCCCACCUGAUGAAAUGGAGGUUCGGAGUCUUAGAGUUUUCACGCUCUGGUGUUCUGCUUUGCGGUGACACUCUUUCUACUUUAAGCUGAGGAACCUAUACAUUCCAGUAAUACCGUUUUUAAAAUAUCAAAUGUUUUCAUGUAAACUGUCUAGUAAAGUUGAUGUUCCAGGAAAAUACAGCGUGUGCCUGCAAGAAACUAGUCACUUUCUAUGAGCCUUCAGGGCUGAGUUGGAGAUGCAGGCUCCCGGUACAAAGUUAAGAGCCUGAAUUUUAACUCCUUCUGUUCUGUGUUCUGUAGCAGUUUCAGGUAGUGUCAUCGAUCCCCAUCCAUAAAGUUGUUAAACCUAAGCAACCAAAACAAUUCCAUUUUGUCUAGCUCCCUCCUUUCUGUUAACUAAAGCUUCUUGUCUGUGAGAGACUGCCUGCUGGUUGGCCUCCUACAGACACAUCUAGUGUUUUCUGAUGAAAGGAGGUGUUGGGAGACUGCCACUGGUUGACCCCCUGCAAAAACAUCUGGGGUCUGUCUGCUGAUGAGAAAGAGAUACUCCUGGAGAAAUCACUAAAUCUACCCAGUUGUCACUCCCACCCUGUAACUAGCCCUCUGCUUUUGUAAUCUGAGCUUCGCUUCCUUGCUGUACUCCCGUUCACAGCCCUAUAAAGAUCCCUGAGUUUAGAUACCUGGACCCUUCUCUCCGAGCAGAGUCAGGUCCAGCCCGGUUUAAAUAAAAUUUUGUCCUUCUAGACUUGCAUUUUCUCCUGUGGUCAAUACAACAGAGUAAACUUUUUUAUUUACUUCCAUUCUGCUGCCUCUCUGUAUGUCACUUGCCAAUUCCUUCAAUGACACUGUAAUCCCAGCACUCUGAAAAGCUGAGGCAGAAGGAGCACAAGUUCAAGUCCUGCUUACACAUUUAGUGAAACCCUGUCUCAAAAUGAAAAACAAAUAUCAAAAGGGGUUUGAUACAACGCUAAUGCAGUGACCCUACAUUAGUACCACA